rnacentral:misc_RNA from 1 species
UACGUAGGUGGCAAGCGUUGUCCGGAAUUAUUGGGCGUAAAGCGCGCGCAGGCGGCCUCUUAAGCCAGUUGUGAAAUACCCCGGCUCAACCGGGGAGGGCGAUUGGAAACUGGGAGGCUUGAGUGGAGGAGAGAAGAGUGGAAUUCCACGUGUAGCGGUGAAAUGCGUAGAGAUGUGGAGGAACACCAGUGGCGAAGGCGACUCUUUGGCCUAUAACUGACGCUGAGGCGCGAAAGCGUGGGGAGCAAACAGG